rnacentral:rRNA from 1 species
GAGUUUGAUCAUGGCUCAGAUUGAACGCUGGCGGCAGGCCUAACACAUGCAAGUCGAGCGGUAGAGAGAAGCUUGCUUCUCUUGAGAGCGGCGGACGGGUGAGUAAUGCCUAGGAAUCUGCCUGGUAGUGGGGGAUAACGCUCGGAAACGGACGCUAAUACCGCAUACGUCCUACGGGAGAAAGCAGGGGACCUUCGGGCCUUGCGCUAUCAGAUGAGCCUAGGUCGGAUUAGCUAGUUGGUGAGGUAAUGGCUCACCAAGGCGACGAUCCGUAACUGGUCUGAGAGGAUGAUCAGUCACACUGGAACUGAGACACGGUCCAGACUCCUACGGGAGGCAGCAGUGGGGAAUAUUGGACAAUGGGCGAAAGCCUGAUCCAGCCAUGCCGCGUGUGUGAAGAAGGUCUUCGGAUUGUAAAGCACUUUAAGUUGGAGGAAGGGCAGUAAAUUAAUACUUUAGCUGUUUGACGUUACCGACAGAAUAAGCACCGGCUAAC